rnacentral:rRNA from 1 species
UACGUAGGGGGCGAGCGUUGUCCGGAUUUAUUGGGCGUAAAGAGCUCGUAGGCGGUUUGGUAAGUUGGAUGUGAAAUCUCCAGGCUCAACUUGGAGGGGUCAUUCGAUACUGCCAUGACUAGAGUUCGGUAGGGGAGUGUGGAAUUCCUGGUGGAGCGGUGAAAUGCGCAGAUAUCAGGAGGAACACCCGUAGCGAAGGCGGCACUCUGGGCCGGAACUGACGCUGAUGAGCGAAAGCGUGGGGAGCGAACAGG